UACAGAGGGUGCAAGCGUUGUUCGGAAUUAUUGGGCGUAAAGCGCGUGUAGGCGGCUUUGCAAGUCGGGUGUGAAAGCCCUCAGCUCAACUGAGGAAGUGCGCCCGAGACUGCAUGGCUUGAGUACCGGAGAGGAUGGUGGAAUUCCCCAAGUAGAGGUGAAAUUCGUAGAUAUGGGGAGGAACACCGGUGGCGAAGGCGACCAUCUGGACGGAUACUGACGCUGAGACGCGAAAGCGUGGGUAGCAAACAGG
rnacentral:rRNA from 1 species